GCCCACCAAGGCGACGAUUGGUAGCCGGACUGAGAGGUUGAACGGCCACAUUGGGACUGAGACACGGUCCAAACUCCUACGGGAGGCAGCAGUGGGGAAUAUUGGGCAAUGGAGGAAACUCUGACCCAGCAACGCCGCGUGAAUGAUGAAGGUCUUCGGAUUGUAAAGUUCUUUUCUAAGGGACGAAGAAAGUGACGGUACCUUAGGAAUAAGCCUCGGCUAACUAC
rnacentral:rRNA from 1 species